rnacentral:rRNA from 1 species
GAUGAACGCUGGCGGCGUGCCUAACACAUGCAAGUCGAACGGUCCUUCGGGACAGUGGCGCACGGGUGAGUAACACGUAGCUAACCUGCCUUCGAGAGGGGGAUAACGCCCCGAAAGGGGUGCUAAUACCGCGUACGCUCGCGCGAUGUAGAGGCGCGCGAGGAAAGGCGCAAGCCGCUCGAAGAGGGGGCUGCGGCCCAUCAGGUAGUUGGUAGGGUAAUGGCCUACCAAGCCAACGACGGGUAGGGGGUCUGAGAGGAUGGUCCCCCACACUGGGACUGAGACACGGCCCAGACUCCUACGGGAGGCAGCGGUGAGGGAUCUUGCACAAUGGGGGAAACCCUGAUGCAGCGACGCCGCGUGGGCGAAGAAGGCCUUCGGGUCGUAAAGCCCUUUUCUGGGUGACGAGGAAGGACGGUAGCCCAGGAAGAAGUCUCGGCUAACUACGUG